GUUAACGUAGCUUAAUUAAAGCAUAACUCUGAAGAUGUUAAGAUAAGCCCUAGAAAGGCUUCGUGGACA
rnacentral:tRNA from 1 species